GACGAAGGACCCAAGCGUUAUCCGGAUUUAUUGGGGUUAAAGGGCGCGUAGGCGGGUUGUUAAGUCAGUGGUGAAAGCCUAGAGCUUAACUCUAGAAUUGCCAUUGAUACUGACGAUCUUGAGGAUAGUUGAGGUGGGCGGAAUGUAUCAUGUAGCGGUGAAAUGCUUAGAGAUGAUACAGAACACCGAUUGCGAAGGCAGCUCACUAAGCUAUUUCUGACGCUGAGGCACGAAAGCGUGGGGAUCAAACAGG
rnacentral:rRNA from 1 species